rnacentral:rRNA from 1 species
CCUUAGUACGGCGAGUGAAGCGGCAACAGCUCAAAUUUGAAAUCUGGCGCCCUUGGGCGUCCGAGUUGUAAUUUGCAGAGGGCGCUUUGGCGUUGGCAGCAGUCUAAGUUCCUUGGAACAGGACGUCGCAGAGGGUGAGAAUCCCGUAUGUGAUUGCAUGCCUUCGCCGUGUAAAGCCCCUUCAACGAGUCGUGUUGUUUGGGAAUGCAGCACUAAAUGGGAGGUAAAUUUCUUCUAAAGCUAAAUACUGGCCAGAGACCGAUAGCGCACAAGUAGAGUGAUCGAAAGAUGAAAAGCACUUUGGAAAGAGAGUCAAACAGCACGUGAAAUUGUUGAAAGGGAAGCGCUUGUAGCCAGACUUGCCUGCAGUUGCUCAUCCGGGCUUAUGCCCGGUGCACUCUUCUGCAGGCAGGCCAGCAUCAGUUUAGGCGACUGGAGAAUGGCCUCUGUCAUGUACCUUCUCUCGGGAAGGCCUUAUAGGGGAGGCGUAAUACAGCCAGUCUGAACUGAGGUCCGCGCAUCUGCUAGGAUGCUGGCGUAAUGGCUAUAAGCGGCCCGUCUUGAAACACGGACCAAGGAGUCUAACAUCUAUGCGAGUGUUUGGGUGUUAAGCCCGAGCGCGCAAUGAAAGUGAACGGAGGUGGGACCCUUUUAGGUGCACCAUCGACCGAUCCUGAUGUCUUCGGAUGGAUUUGAGUAAGAGCAUAGCUGUUGGGACCCGAAAGAUGGUGAACUAUGCUUGAAUAGGGUGAAGCCAGAGGAAACUCUGGUGGAGGCUCGCAGCGGUUCUGACGUGCAAAUCGAUCGUCAAAUU